rnacentral:rRNA from 1 species
UGAGGAAUAUUGGUCAAUGGGCGGAAGCCUGAACCAGCCAAGUCGCGUGAAGGACGAAGGUAUUAUGUAUUGUAAACUUCUUUAGCAGUGGAGAAAUAAGGGAGUCGUGACUCCCGAUGCUAGUACACUGAGAAUAAGGAUCGGCUAACUCCGUGCCAGCAGCCGCGGUAAUACGGAGGAUCCGAGCGUUAUCCGGAUUUAUUGGGUUUAAAGGGUGCGCAGGCGGCCUUGCAAGUCAGCGGUCAAAUCGUGGAGCUCAACUCCAUUCCGCCGUUGAUACUGCCGGGCUUGAUUGCGGUUGAGGUUGGCGGAAUUCGUCGUGUAGCGGUGAAAUGCAUAGAUAUGACGAAGAACCCCGAUUGCGUAGGCAGCUGACCAAGCCGUAAAUGACGCUCAUGCACGAAAGUGCGGGGAUCGAACAGG